GUGAGGAAUUUUCCGCAAUGGGCGAAAGCCUGACGGAGCAAUGCCGCGUGAAGGAUGAAGGCCUAUGGGUUGUAAACUUCUUUUCUCAGAAAAGAAUUAUGACGGUAUCUGAGGAAUAAGCAUCGGCUAACUCUGUGCCAGCAGCCGCGGUAAGACAGAGGAUGCAAGCGUUAUCCGGAAUGAUUGGGCGUAAAGCGUCUGUAGGUUGUUUAAAAAGUAUUCUGUCAAAGAUUAGGGCUUAACUCUAGAUAGGCAGAAUAAACUUUUAAGCUAGAGUAUGGUAGAGGCAGAGGGAAUUCCCGGUGGAGCGGUGAAAUGCGUAGAUAUCGGGAGGAACACCAAAGGCGAAGGCACUCUGCUGGGCCAAUACUAACACUGAGAGACGAAAGCGAGGGGAGCAAAUGGGAUUAGAAACCCCUGUAGUCC
rnacentral:rRNA from 1 species